rnacentral:SRP_RNA from 2 species
GCUGGGUGUGCUGGUGGGCACCUGUAGUCCCAGCUACUUGGGAGGCUGAGGCAGGAGAAUCACUUGAACCCAGGAGGCAGAGGUUGCAGUGAGCCAAGAUGGCACCACUGCACUCCAGCCUGGGUGACAGAGUGAGACUCCGUCUCAA